GCCUGAGUGGUGGAAUUGGUAGACACCCGGGAUUCAAAAUCCCGUGCCUUCACGGGCGUGCCGGUUCGACUCCGGCCUCAGGUACCA
rnacentral:tRNA from 1 species